AGAGAGAGAGAGAGAGAGAGAGAGAGAGAGAGAGAGAGAGAGAGACAGUGAGAGGCGAGUAAGAGCGAGGAGCUGAGGCGGUGACUGUCGCAGAAAGUGAGCCAGCAAAAGAGUAUCCUAGGCGUCACUCGGCGCACUGGGCGAUACCUGACCGAGUCUUCUUGUCCUGGGAGCGGAAUCAAGAGCAAGAUCAAGAUAUCCAGUGUAAACAAACCGAUUAAACAAAGAAAACGUGAAUUAUUAAAGGCAAACUAUAGAAAAAUUAAGAUAAACUGUGAUAAAGUGAGGAGAGGGAAAACUGUGAUAAAUGAUAGGGUAAACGAAGAGAGAGGAAGACAAAGGUGAUGAAAGACAAAGAGGGAAAUAUAGAAGGAAGUUAGAAUAAGGGAAACGUAGAGAAAAGUGA